CCCGCUCCGCGCCCCGCCCACCCCGCUCCGCGCCCCGCCCCGUUCCCUGCAGUAGCGGGGAAGUGCAGCCAGCCCCCAGCUCUUCUCCGCCUACCGUCCUCCUCCCCCAGGCCCCUGCAGGGGAGCCUCGCCCUCGUCCUCUUCCACCAAUGAAAGUAGCUCUUUUUUUUUUUAAUUGUAGAAAGAAUAAGCAGAAAAUAAAUUCACUUUCCCACACCAUGCAGCAAAAAACAUCCAUUCCUUUGUAAAAGAAUCACUUUAUUUAUUUGGUUUUCGUCAUAAUAAGUGUAAACAUCCAUUCUUAAAAUUAUCCUUCCUCCCGUAUAGACAGGUGGGUAUGAAUACUUUAUGAAAUUGGGAUCAUGCUGUAGACAGCCUAUCGUAACCUGGCAUUUUGUUACAAGGGUAGGAGGCGGACAUCUUUUGGUGUCGUAUAUGGACUGGACCAUAGUGGCACAUGUUGUGUCUGUAUGGCCCUGCUAUUUAAUCUGGCUCCUGUUCUCCGGUAAAUUACUUAAGGGGAACGACUAUCCCUGUGAAGGCCCCAUUUGCUUUAGAACAGUGUGCUAAUUAUGUGUCACUUAAAAUAUUUGAUUAAAAGCACUUCCAACGACAUUCUGUCCAACUUCCCUUGUUACCCAAGUUCAUAUUAAUUACUGUGUCCUCGAAAACAAUAAAGCUGACAUAAAGCACUCAUCUAAUGAGUAUUUCAAUUAGCCCUGUACUAACUUUGUUUUAUUCCUACUUAGCCGGAGUGGGUGUUCCUGGAUAUGCAUUUACAGAUGAAGAAGUUGAGACCUGGAGAGGAGGUGACCUGCCUAAGGUCUUACAAUUCAGUUAUGGCUGAUGAACAUAUCUUGAACAUCUACCAUCCCCAGGACUCCAAAUAUGAAUAUUACCCUCCAGGUGCUGCCAGACUUGACUUCAGUGGAUUCAGAGAUUCACGGUGAUGAGUCAGGGUGAUGGCAGGUGCUGGGCGCCCGUCAGAUGGUGUUGGAUCACACAGAAAUGAUGGGCAGAGCUCACUGGUGACUGCAUUCAGCGAGUAAUCCAACCAGCAUGUCACGCAUGUGUUGCCAUGGAGAAGGAUUCCUACUCCAGUCUGGCUUCAUUCAGUCCUGGAAAUUCAUUCUUCAUGUUCUACAAGCAUCUGCAUAUGGUGUGAAAAUAUGCCCAACAACAUGCCACUGAUUUUAUUCUUGAACAAAUGAAGAACCAUCAAAUGUGGGGAAAGAGCCAAACUUCCCAAUUAGUUGUUUGCACAGUUGUCCCUUACUCUUAAGAUAUCCUGAUAACCUUUUUCCCCGCCUCCCUCCCCCUGCAUUAAAACUUGAGACAUUUUGGACCCGAAGGAAUGGCUUAUCUGACAAACCCGAUAGGGCUGAGAUUGAGCAAUCCGUCAGAUGGCAAUGGAAGGAGACAGAAACACAAGAGAAGCACCCACUGAACAGGAGAAGCAAGCAGGUGAAUCGGAAUGAGGCGAGCGCCACCAAUAUGCACUGUACCUUCCACGGGCAUUGCCUUCGUGUUUUACUGCUUUUAGCUGUUUAACUUUGCAAGAUGCAAAGAGGUUGGAUCAAGUUUAAAUGACUGUACUACCCCUUUUCACAUCAAAGAAUGGAGAACUACUGACAACGAGCCGUGCCUGUCUCUCCCAUCUGCCCGCUGGUUGGCAGGGAAGGAAAAGAGCCUGCAUGUUGGUGAAGAAAGAAGCUGGUGGGAUGACAGUGAAAUCUAGAGUAAAAACCAAGCUGGUCCAAGGUGUCCUGCAGGCUGUAAAAUGCAGUUUAAUCAGUGCCAUUUUUGUUGUUGUUGUUGUUGUUCCAAUGAUCUUAAUUAUUGGAACACAUGAUUUUGACUCUGCAAAUAAAAAGUUUUAAAAUCUGAGAAAAAAAUGUAAUAGGAUGCCUGCGAAACUUGUGGUUUAAUAUUACAUUCCAAGACUCUGAAAUCUGUGUAAGCCAAAUGGUUUGAUCACAUUUUUUCCCGAAAUGACCACACUAUCAAAGAGCACCUGGCAGCCCUUUGGAGAACGCUUACGCAUGUGGACGGUAUUUGCAACCCCACGUUAAUGCAUUGGAAGGCAUCUCCAGCAUGGACACACAAUGGGAAGACCUCUUGACCGCCAUGACGGUCAACCUGAGUUAACAAGACUUUUACCAGCCCGCCAGUCUACCACACAGCAAUUUGAAUGCUUCUGGUAACCUCGGUGCAGCCUCUUUCUUUUAAACAGAGUUUGAUGUCUUGAGUCAGGAGUAUUAGGGGUGCGUGGGUGGCUCAGCCAGUUAAGCGUCUGACUCUU